rnacentral:lncRNA from 1 species
GGAUAAUUGAGCAACAGAGUCAGGGAUGACUAACCCGCACCAGAGGAGAGAUAGAGAGAGCAGGAGGAGGAGAGGAAUAAAAUAGAGAUAUAUGAGUGUGUUAAAGGUAAGCGGAAGUUAAUGUUACAUAUUAGCAGUGUUUUACUGAAGAGCUCAAUGGGUACGGGGACAAAAGUAGGAGAAGAAACAGGCUGGUAUUUUUUAAAGUGACAAACAAAGGACAAUACAUCUAUAUCACCAGAAAACCAGCACCAGCGAAGGUCAUAGGAGGUCCAUCGGGACCAAGACAGUUUUCGCUGCACCUUCCCAUGAAAUACACACCCCCCCUGCACCAAGAGGUAAUGUGCUCCUUUAAAUAUUCCAAUCCACGUGUUAUUAGAAAAAGACACAUGUGAAGGCUUCUGGAAUAACUAAACCAAGUUUCAACCAAUUAUCUUCCACUGGAAGGCCAUGAGAGAGUUCUGUGUGAUAAACACUCCCAACAUGGAAGAUAAACAUGAGGAAGGUAAACACUGAGCACAUAAACAACAUUUUCCAACUGAUUUAGCAUUCAUUUACGUGCAUCCUCUUAAGAAAACAAACAUACAAAUACACAAACACACACACUGUGCACAACAACACACAAGAAGAACCCACUGUCAUUGGUCCCAUUUCCAUUCUUGAUACUUAGCAUAAACAUUCAAAAUAUGUCACAUUCUUGGACAGUGGAUCAAUCUACUCCAAAACAUGGGCUUGAGUGUACUCAUGGUCAAAGUGGAUCAGAAAUGCAGUAUGGAUGAAUGGAGAGUUUCCGGAAGAGUGUGUUACUGAUUGAAGAGCCAAUAGACCGAGAAUUGUCCAUAAUCAGCUAAAAACAUUUCUAGUGAGUAUUUCCAAACUAAAGCACUUAUUUUCUCCCUUAUGCAGAGAACAUUCCUUCCCUCAAACUAUCUGCAAACCUGGAGAGAACAGUUUAGAAGACAACCACACCUGAGAGAGAGCAAAUGACAGGAACACUAGACAAGCAGAAGAA